rnacentral:rRNA from 1 species
UGGGCAACCUGCCCCUCUCUCUGGGAUAACCCCGGGAAACCGGAGCUAAUACCGGAUACUCCGGCUGGAUCGCAUGGUCCGGCCGGGAAAGGUCCGCCGGAGAGGGAUGGGCCCGCGGCCUAUCAGCUUGUUGGUGAGGUCACGGCUCACCAAGGCUACGACGAGUAGCUGGUCUGAGAGGACGACCAGCCACACUGGAACUGAGAUACGGUCCAGACUCCUACGGGAGGCA